rnacentral:SRP_RNA from 1 species
GUCAGGUGUGGUGACUCAUGUCUGUAAUCUCAGCACUUUGGGAGGCCAAGGUGGGCAGAUGACUUGAGGCCAGGAGUUCAAGACCAGCCUGGCCAACGUGGUGAAACUCCGUCUCUACUAAAGAAAUACAAAACUUAGCCGGGUGUGGUGGCGGGCGCCUGUAAUCCCAGUUACUCAGGAGGCCGACACAGGAGAAUUGNNNNNNNNNNCAAUUCUCCUGUGUCGGCCUCCUGAGUAACUGGGAUUACAGGCGCCCGCCACCACACCCGGCUAAGUUUUGUAUUUCUUUAGUAGAGACGGAGUUUCACCACGUUGGCCAGGCUGGUCUUGAACUCCUGGCCUCAAGUCAUCUGCCCACCUU